GGUUAAGCGACUAAGCGUACACGGUGGAUGCCUAGGCAAUCAGAGGCGAUGAAGGACGUGCUAAUCUGCGAUAAGCGUCGGUAAGGUGAUAUGAACCGUUACAACCGACGAUUUCCGAAUGGGGAAACCCAGUGCAAUUCGUUGCACUAUCGUUUGAUGAAUACAUAGUCAAACGAAGCGAACCGGGGGAACUGAAACAUCUCAGUACCCCGAGGAAAAGAAAUCAACCGAGAUUCCCCUAGUAGCGGCGAGCGAACGGGGAGCAGCCCAGAGUCUUAAUCAGCAUUAGCAUCAGGAGAACGGUCUGGAAAGUCCGGCAGUAAAGGGUGAUAGCCCCGUAUCCGAAGGUGUUAGUGUUGUGAACUCGACGAGUAGGGCGGGACACGUGUUAUCCUGUCUGAAUAUGGGGGGACCAUCCUCCAAGGCUAAAUACUCCUGAUUGACCGAUAGUGAACCAGUACCGUGAGGGAAAGGCGAAAAGAACCCCGGCGAGGGGAGUGAAAUAGAACCUGAAACCGUGUACGUACAAGCAGUGGGAGCCCCAUCACUCAAGUGCCUCGGCAAUUGAGUGAUGGUGUAAAACCAUCACAAUAACAGCGCAGGAUUUGCCAACAAGAUUGGCUGAUUUUUUCAAGCCGCAGCGCAGUGGACAUCGAAGUCCAUGAGCAGCGGAAGUUAAAAAAUCGGGCAAGAUUGGCCGCAAAGCCAAGCGGGACAUUUGAGGAUGGGGUGACUGCGUACCUUUUGUAUAAUGGGUCAGCGACUUAUAUUCUGUAGCAAGGUUAACCGUAUAGGGGAGCCGUAGGGAAACCGAGUCUUAACUGGGCGAAUAAGUUGCAGGGUAUAGACCCGAAACCCGGUGAUCUAGCCAUGGGCAGGUUGAAGGUUGGGUAACACUAACUGGAGGACCGAACCGACUAAUGUUGAAAAAUUAGCGGAUGACUUGUGGCUGGGGGUGAAAGGCCAAUCAAACCGGGAGAUAGCUGGUUCUCCCCGAAAGCUAUUUAGGUAGCGCCUUGUGAACUCAUCUUCGGGGGUAGAGCACUGUUUCGACUAGGGGGUCAUCCCGACUUACCAACUCGAUGCAAACUACGAAUACCGAAGAAUGUUAUCACGGGAGACACACGGCGGGUGCUAACGUUCGUCGUGAAGAGGGAAA
rnacentral:rRNA from 1 species